UACAGAGGUCUCAAGCGUUGUUCGGAUUCAUUGGGCGUAAAGGGUGCGUAGGUGGCGCCGUAAGUCAGGUGUGAAAUUUCGGAGCUUAACUCCGAAACUGCAUUUGAUACUGCCGUGCUUGAGGACUGGAGAGGAGACUGGAAUUUACGGUGUAGCAGUGAAAUGCGUAGAGAUCGUAAGGAAGACCAGUGGCGAAGGCGGGUCUCUGGACAGUUCCUGACACUGAGGCACGAAGGCCAGGGGAGCAAACGGG
rnacentral:rRNA from 1 species